UAUUUAUAUUACAUGUUCAUGUUAUGUAAGUAAUAAAACUCUGUUCCGCUGUUAAAGGAAAAUGAAUCAACACCAAGAAAGGGUUGUGAUGAUGCACUUCGGUAAACACACCCACCAGCGAGCAUGAUCGGCAAUCCUAAAUUAGUGCUGUAGCAGAGAAAACAUUGAAGAGAAAAAUAAUCAAAAAGAAAAAAGAAAUAAAAACUCAGUCCAGACAAGAGAAGUGCUUUGCAUAUAUUUAAUCCUAUUUUCCAAUAGUUUCUUUUUUCUCUUUUCUUUUUUUUUUUUGGUCUUCCAGCAAUUCUGCGAAAUACAAAUAAAAUCAUAGGCACAUACAUUUAUUAAAAGUACAUCCUGUUGGAGUAGUGUUCAGGAUGAUGACGACGUGUAAACGUGGAUUAGGUAUUAAUACAUCAAAUACACGUUUAAAAACAACAACAAAACAUAUUCCAUCUGUAAAUAUGACGAUGUUAAACAGAAACGGAUAAAACAAUAUCGUUAUGAUGAGAAUAUAACAUAAUACGAUGCUACAGUUUUACAUCUUCAUGAAAUCGUGUGGCGUGUCCGUGGCUACGGUUUGUUCAUGCGUAUAACACACCCUUCAGGAGAGCGAGCGACAACGACCACGCCCUCCUGAUGCUUUUUCUGCUCGUGACGUUAGCACCCUGAAAUGAGUUGGAUUAGUCCGGAACUGGGUUAAUUAUUCCUGAAACACGUUAAUUAGUCCUGUGUACUGAGGGUCGUCCCGCUCCGGCUUGAAGGCUCUCAGGGACGGCCGGUUCUGCCACGACGGGAUCCGCCAAGACACCGAUUUAUCUACCAGAAACCAGAAUCACAAGAAAGUUUUUAUUGUUCUCUCGUGCUCGGGUGUGUUAUAGACAAAACAACAGUCGAGCAGCAAAACAACACUAACGCUUAAUGCAAAAAUGAUACAUGAAUAAUCCCUGUGUUUUCAUUACUGUUUCUAACGCACCCUAGCCGCGUGUCCGUUUGCAGCAUGAGCGAAUUAAUGAAUGUCACUUUUUUUUUCUUUUUUUUUUUAUUCCUUUAAACUAACCUUAAAGUUAGUUCCUGUCAUCUUUCAUUUCAGACGCUAUAAACUUUCACUCCCUCACCAGCCUCGCUUUUUUCCCCUCUUUCUCUUGUUACAAAGUGCUGACACUGGAGACUCCUUCCAAAAAAGGUUACGUCGCCUUAUAGAGCACGCCGCUGUGAACGAGCUGUUACUAUAGAAACGAUAACGUUAAUAUGUGUAGAAAAUUUGUCAACUCGUACAACGUUGCCCAAUCAGAAUCGAGAACUCAACUAGCGCUGUGGCGUAAAAAGUCAUGACCAACCAGUGACUAGUGUAGUUCCGUAUCAAAUGUUAUUGUGACGAGAAACUGUUUUAACUCUGUAGCUACGUGGUUCGCUACCUAGCGGUUUCGCCCGCUAGCUAGAUAAUUCGAAAAUGUCAAGAUUGACUUUUCAUUCGUAGCUGUUUCUUGGGCAGGUGAGGCUCGGAAGAGAUUUACUCGCUCAGUCUUCGUCCCUGUCUGGAGAUGGAUCGGCUCGCUGACUUGCUAACUAGCCAACACUCGGUGGUACAGUAAACAGUUCCGUCAUCCGUCAUAUACACGGACGAAGGUGUCGGAGGAACAAAAAUCAAACCUAAAAAAAAGCUACCAUAGCGUUAAACGGUAUGGUUUGGAAAUACAGAGUAUUUUAAUUGCUUACACUGCAGCAAUGCCUUCUGGGUAAGAAGCAGCUUCAGUCAGGCUGUUAAAAUUAAAAAUAAAAUGAAAUAAAAUAAAGAAAGAAAUGAUGGACAUGGGGACUCAACUAAGGGGAAGUGAACACUGUGUGUUUAAAACAGAACUGAGACACAUGGUGCAGUCAUUGAUUUGACAAUAAUAAAAAAUGAAACAAUAUUAUUAUUAUUAUUAUUAUUAUUAUUAUUUAAGAAUGGCACUCGUGUUGCCAGAUUGGGUGGUUUUGCACAGGUUUGACCAUUCAUACCAAUUUGGCAACAUUGGUCACGCUAGAUAUGUUUUUUUUUAUUACCUAGGGGGGAAAAAAAACUAAUUAAUGUGGUGAAAACAGACAAGACGUACUUGGUGUCCGACAUUUGCGACCUUUAAAAAAAAUGUAAAAAUUGUAACCUCUGCACUGGGUUAAUUAUCUUAAGACUAUUAGGCCUACUUGUCACAACGUACGAGACGACCCCGAUAAAACCUCGGCCGAACUUUAUACCACCGUGCGAUAAAGUUCUCCGUGUCAGAUUAUACGAUGAACGGCAGACGUCGUCGAUUAACGCGAUCCGGAAAAUCACGUAAACACAAACACUGUUUAAAGUGAGCUCGAGGUAAUACGGAGAAGUAAGCAUUUCCUGAUGAUGUGGAGGGGGGAGGGAUUUAUAAACAAAUGAGGAAUCAUACCAAACGUGUGGGUUAAACUCACACUUUAGCUUUUUCUGGUUUAUUACAUAAACGAGUCACCUCAGUCCUGUAGUAAUGCUGCUCUGAGUUCAGCAUCUGGAUGGAUUUAAAGGAGGAUAUUUAAAAAGAGAGAACUUCAGUCAAAAAAUAAAAGGACCACAAUGUCCACGUUGAACCAAAUGUACUUCAGCAGCCAACACAGGUUUGGUGUCUGAGGUUUGCUUCUUAAGUUAUGACGUCUUUACGGCUCAGCGUUCUGCAGCAUCUAAACCGGGGGUGUCUGAUCUUAUCCGGAAAGGGCCGGUGUGGGUGCGGGUUUUCAUUCCAACCGAGCAGAAGCCACACCCGAGUCUAUUGAAAGCCACGAUCAACUGAUUAAACAGGUGGAAUCAGGUGUGGCUCCUGCACCCGCGCCGGCCCACAAAUCUUGCGGAUAAGAUCGGACACCCCUGAUCUAAACGAUCACACGAUCGUGUCUCCGCAAUCGUUUCCGUGGACGCGUCCGACGCCACGGACUUGCUCGUGUGGUUUCUGACACGCUCGUUUAUAAAAGCGGACUGAAGGACAUCAGAAGUCACCGUCAGUAGAUAUCGGCGUCAUCCAUCUGACUCGGUUCGAACGCGCGGCCUACGAUUUGAAAGCGGAGCUGGACGUUACAAAUGACUUGCGUAUUUAUUUCACACACACACAACACACACACACACACACACACACUGUAGUGUGCAUAAGUCAUAGACCACCAUUUUAUUUUAGUGUAAAACCACUGAAUGGCUGUUUUGCUGAAAAUGAAAUGAACGUACUGUACAUUUUCCAAUCGAUAUCGUUUGCCACCAAAUAAAUCAACCAAUCAUGCUGCAAUCCAUUGUACUCAGAACUCAAAAAAAAAACCCCAACGUCUCCCGACGUCUCCGAACUGUACGACGGAACGGUCGCUCAACUCGGAAGUCCCAGUCGGGACUCUGUACAAUACGGUAGCGUCGACGGUACACAGAUUUCCCUUUGCACCGUUUUCAACUCGAUUUUCCUUAACUGGCAGCGUUUGUGUUAGUUUUAGUUUCGACGUGAUUCCAGCCUGAUUAUCGCGUGAUGACGUGAUCAAACCGUUCUGACAGAUACAUUCUAUGAGCAGAGCUGGGCGAGACACUUGACGUCUUCGAAGUGAUUUCUCAUGAUUUAGAAAGCAUUCGUGUAGCUUCUCUUAAUAUGUUUAAAAGUUUCAGCCGUACAAAUAUAACCUUGCUCUGGGGGCCGUGUAUUUAUUCUGCCCCCGCUCCCCGCCCCACCC
ensembl:lncRNA